GAACUUUCUGUCAAGAGAUAAUAUUCUCUAUACCUCUUCCCCUUCAUCACAACCUUACUACCAUGCAAAACUCUUAGGAUUCCAUCAUUAGCUCUCUACUUGUAGCUGCUUGAAUUCAGUCUGCUCAGUUAAAUUAGAUUAUUCCUAAAAUUGGAUAUGUAUCAGAUCUUACCCAAUUUCUUCAUUACUUCAUCAUGAGUCUGUAAGCUAACAGUCCUAAUACACUUGAUCGCACAGCUCGAUCCAUCCGAC
rnacentral:lncRNA from 1 species